GACGAACCGUGCGAACGUUGUUCGGAAUCACUGGGCUUAAAGGGCGCGUAGGCGGGCUGUCAAGUCUGGGGUGAAAUGCCGCGGCUCAACCGUGGAACUGCCUUAGAUACUGACGGCCUCGAGGAAGGUAGGGGCAUGCGGAACUGUAGGUGGAGCGGUGAAAUGCGUUGAUAUCUACAGGAACUCCGGUGGCGAAAGCGGCGUGCUGGACCUUUUCUGACGCUGAGGCGCGAAAGCUAGGGGAGCAAACAGG
rnacentral:rRNA from 1 species